rnacentral:lncRNA from 1 species
AGUUUCUUAAUAUAAAAAAAAAAAUCAAGUAUAAUGAUAUAAGUGAUAAAAAAAAUCAAACAAGUUUAGAAAUUAAAAAUACAAUGUCUUGAUAUAUAACAAUUUCAAAGGGAAAUAUAGAAGAAAAAAAAAAGAAGCAAAAGCACAGUGUCUUGAUGGGGUAGAUAUUGUAAUUAUAAUGCUAAAAUUGGUUAAACGUUUUGAAUGUAUAUCAAGUAAUCAACAUAAUAUAAUUUGGUAUUGUAUAUGAUCUGUUGGAAUUUUUACAUAUUGCUAGAAGCUGUAGAGUCUAGAUUGCUCCAUAAUCCUAUCAAAUAGCUACAAAUACAGGAAGUGUAAGAUGAUGAUGAAUGAUAUAGGUAAACAUAAAUUGAAAUUACUAUGGCAACUUGACAAUCUUUAGAAGUUUAUGUAAAUCCUGCCAAACUAGAUUCAAGAUUUUGACCAGAGUUAAUUUUUUAGUAAAGAGGAAAUCAAUGUCAGAAAUACAAGAAACAUGUAAAACAUUAAGCCAUGGAGUCUUCCAGCAUCACAUACCCACAAAUAAAAUGUUUGACUGAAACAUCGUGAUCGGAUAAAUUUGUUGACAGAUUCUAAAGAAAAAACAUUAUCAAAUGGUCAACAAACCCACAGAAACAUGUCCUGAAACACACCAACUAAAGAAGAGGAAGACCCCAGGGAAAUCAGAUUUUAAAGGAAAAAGAAAACGCGAAGAAGAAGACAGGGUACUACUAAAAACCCUAGAUAAUGAAAAUUUUAAAAAAGAUAAUAAUAAUUAACCUUCGAUUCCUAGAAGAUCACAUCUCAGUUUCAGAAAAACCCUUAAUUAAAGAAUAGAAAAAGAAACAGAAUGAAAACUUACAUCGAUGUUGAUUAGAGACAUGGCUGUGUCUGCGAAGAAUUGGGUGUUGGGGUCACAGACAUGGCUAUGGGUCUCCGGGAGGGUGUGGGUCUGUAUAGAAAAGAACGACUGAAGAAGAUGACCGAACCUUUUGGACUUCCAUCCGUAUAUGCGUCUGUCGAGGUGUCUGCGUGUGUUGAAAGCGGAAUGAAGAACGUCUGUAAAAUACGCGCUACGACCCAGCCCCUUUGAC